rnacentral:ncRNA from 2 species
CCGCUUCAUCAAGAGAAGGGCUGGCGCCCUCGCCAACCUGCCAACCGGGCAAGGUGGUUUCCGCACUCGGGAUGUGGCUGUGCCGGAAUUUCUGGUUUCAGCAACCAAGCGGUUCUUC